rnacentral:rRNA from 1 species
UACGGAGGGGGCUAGCGUUGUUCGGAAUUACUGGGCGUAAAGCGCGCGUAGGCGGACCUGCAAGUCGGGGGUGAAAGCCCGAGGCUCAACCUCGGAACUGCCUUCGAUACUGAUCGACUUGAAGGCAGGAGAGGGAAGCGGAAUUCCCGGUGUAGUGGUGAAAUGCGUAGAUAUCGGGAGGAACACCAGUGGCGAAGGCGGCUUCCUGGCCUGCUCUUGACGCUGAGGCGCGAAAGCUAGGGUAGCAAACGGG